rnacentral:rRNA from 1 species
GAUUAACGCUGGCGGCGUGCCUAAAACAUGCAAGUCGAGCGCCCCUUCGGGGGAGCGGGCGGACGGCUGAGUAACACGUUGGUACCUACCCAAACUCGGGAAUAAGCGCUGGAAACGGCGUCUAAUGCCCGAUAGUCUCUUCGGAGUAAAGCUUUUGCGGUUUGGGAGGGGCCUGCGCGGGAUUAGCUUGUUGGUGAGGUAACGGCCCACCAAGGCUACGAUCUCUAGCUGGUCUGAGAGGAUGAUCAGCCAGACUGGGACUGAGACACGGCCCAGACUCCUACGGGAGGCAGCAGUUAGGAAUCUUGCACAAUGGGGGAAACCCUGAUGCAGCAACGCCGCGUGGAGGAA